GCAGAAACAUUCCAGCCAAUCAGCAGCAGACCCUCCCUCCCAGACCCUCCCACCUCCUGGACAGCAUCCAUUUUGAGGCUGCAUUCUUAGUGAUCUGUCCAGGAGGUGGGAGGGUUUGGGAGGGAGGGUCUGCUGCUGAUUGGCUGGAAUCUGUCUG
rnacentral:miRNA from 1 species